AUGGUUUUAAGCUUAAAUUAAAGCUGAAAGAAUGAUAAACUUUCGAUAGAUUAAUUCUUUUCCAUA
rnacentral:tRNA from 1 species